GUCGAGCGGAUCGAUGGGAGCUUGCUCCCUGAGAUCAGCGGCGGACGGGUGAGUAACACGUGGGUAACCUGCCUGUAAGACUGGGAUAACUCCGGGAAACCGGGGCUAAUACCGGAUAAUUUAGUUCCUCGCAUGAGGAACUGUUGAAAGGUGGCUUUUCCCUCCCCUUUACAAAGGACCCCCGGCCCAUUACUAUUUGGGAAGGUAACGGCCCACCAAGGCACCAAUGCUUACCCAACCUAAAAGGGUGACCGGCCCACCCGGGAACUGAAACCCGGCCCAAACCCCUCCGGAAGGCACCAUUAGGAAUCCUUCCCCAUAGGAACAAAAUUCUAACGAACCACCCCCCCCGGAUUGAAAAAGGUUUCCGAACCCUAAAUUUCUGUUGUUAGGAAAACAGUUGCCUUUCAAUAGGGGGVCCCCUUGGCGUCCCACCCAAAAAGCCCCGGUUACUUACUUGCCACCACCCCCGUAUUAC
rnacentral:rRNA from 1 species